CCAACGGCCCUCUUUAGGGCCACCCAGUAUUAUUAUCGUUUUCCUU
rfam:Strongyloides venezuelensis genome assembly, scaffold: SVE_scaffold0000011